UACAGCCACAUCACUUAGAAACACCAGUCCCUGUAUGGUCACCAAAGUUAAGCAAUGUUGAGCUUGGUCAGUACCUAGAUGGGUGACUGCCUGGGAUUACCAAGUGAUGUAAG